AAUUUUAAGCUCAGUGGUUGAGCACCUGGUCUUGUAAACCAUGAGGUCAGUGAGUUCAAUCCUCACUGGGGCUU